rfam:Triticum aestivum genome assembly, contig: Triticum_aestivum_CS42_TGACv1_scaffold_231665_3B
AUAGUACUCCCUCCAUUCCGAAUUACUUGUCUUGAAUUUGUCUAGAUACAUAUGUAUCUAGACUCAUUUUAGUGCUAGAUACAUCCGUAUCUAGACAAAUCUAAGACAAGUAAUUUGGAACGGAGGGAGUAGUAC